AACGAACGCUGGCGGCAUGCCUAACACAUGCAAGUCGAACGGUACCUUCGGGGUUAGUGGCGCACGGGUGGGGAAGGAGUGGGAACCUGCCCGUAGGUUCGGAAUAACUCAGAGAAAUUUGAGCUAAUACAGGAGAAUGUCUUCGGACCAAAGAUUUAUCGCCUUUGGAUGGGCCCGGGUUGGAUUCGCUAGUUGGUGGGGGACAGGCCUACCAAGGCGACGAUCCAUAGCUGGUCUGAGAGGAUGAUCAGCCACACUGGGACUGAGACACGGCCCAGACUCCUACGGGAGGCAGCAGUAGGGUAUAUUGUACAAUGGGCGAAAGCCUGAUCCAGCAAUGCCGCGUGAGUGAUGAAGGCCUUAGGGUUGUAAAGCCCUUUUACCCGGGAUGAUAAUGACAGUACCGGGAGAAUAAGCCCCGGCUAACUCCGUG
rnacentral:rRNA from 1 species